rnacentral:misc_RNA from 1 species
CUGCAUGUAGCUUGAAUAUACGUGCAUGCCAAGAAACACUACUGCAAAGACUACAGAAGAAGACAUCAAUACUUAAAAUUCAUUCUGCAAACGAUGGUGAUGUGUUCUCGUCCGCCCGGAAGAACUCACCGGGGCCGCCUCCUUCUACUACUACUUGCUGCCAUCUUCAUACUUGCUUCCGGGAGCGGACCACGCAGCUCGGUUACUACAGCUCGUCCUCCUCCGGUAUAUCGCUGGCCUCCAUGAAAUUUGAUAUGCACAUGCUACACACUACUGGAGAAAGUGCAAUAUGUACUAGUUAGCAAUGCAACUGGCUACAGUACCAACGAUGUGGAUAUCUAUAACUAAAAACCCAAAUCAUUAGUCCGAGUUGUAUAGAUCAUAUACUAAAUAGUGAACUUUAGUACUUGUUUUUGGCUUGAAUAUGUACUAAAGGAUCCGUUUUUAGUACCAGUUCUAUUAGAAAAUAGUAAUUACAUGUAUAGAGUAGUUGGCACCGA